rnacentral:misc_RNA from 1 species
GAUUCAUUCUCAUGGUGAACAAGCAAGGCCAAACCCGCCUCGCUCAGUAUUACGAAAAUCUUACUCUCGAAGAACGUCGAGCUCUUGAGGGUGAAAUCGUUCGCAAAUGCCUCGCUCGUAACGAACAACAGUGUUCCUUUGUCGAGCAUCGCAACUAUAAGAUUGUAUAUAGGCGAUAUGCAUCUCUGUUUUUUCUGGUUGGAGUUGACAAUGAUGAAAAUGAACUGGCAAUUU